UGUUUAAUUAUUAUCGUUAAAAAUUUUGUUUGUUUUUUUGAUCCAAAUACACGAGCGGGUUUGGUUGAAUACACGGGUAAGAGCACCGAAGCGCCCUCCACCCGACAUUCAUUAUUGUUUUAAUGAUCCUUCCGCAGGUUCACCUACGGAAA
rnacentral:misc_RNA from 1 species